rnacentral:piRNA from 1 species
UACAUAAGUGGGAUCAUCCUGAUUUGUC